rnacentral:rRNA from 1 species
UCUACGGGUGGCAGCAGUGAGGAAUAUUGGUCAAUGGGCGAGAGCCUGAACCAGCCAAGUCGCGUGAGGGAAGACGGUCCUAUGGAUUGUAAACCUCUUUUGUCGGGGCGCAAAAAGGCCUCGUGAGGCCACAAGUGAGAGUACCCGAAGAAAAAGCAUCGGCUAACUCUGUGCCAGCAGCCGCGGUAAUACGGAGGAUGCGAGGUUUAGUCGGAUUUAUUGGGUUUAACGGGUGCUUAGGCGGACUGGAAAGUCAGCGGUAAAAUCGCGAGUCGAAACCUCUUUCCGACGUUGAAACGGUCGGUCUUGAGUGGGCGAGAAGUAUGCGGAAUGCGUGGUGUAGCGGUGAAAUGCAUAGAUAUCACGCAGAACUCCGAUGGCGAAGGCAGCAUACCGGCGCCCGACUGACGCUGAGGCACGAAAGCGUGGGUAUCGAACAGGAUUAGAUACCCCGGUAGUC